ACUCUGAUAGCCAAUAUCCUGCUUUUACCUCACCCUCAACCAACACAGGACGGAGUGAUAUCUGUAAUAAGGGAAAACAGUUUAAGGCUGGGCAUAGCGCUGCAUGCCUGUAAUCCCAGCUACUUGAGAGGCUCAGGUAGGAGAAAUACAAGUUUGAGGUCAGCCUCAGCAACUUAGCAAGACCCUAAGUAACACAGGGAGACCAUGUCUCAAAAUAAAAAAAUAAAAAGGGCUGGGGAAAAAAGGGUCUAGGAAUUGGCUACCAUGCUUUUAUAAAAACUGGUGGUGUCUAUCCCUUCCUGUGCUGGAGGGCAGAAGAGAGGAUAAUGAAACUUGGAAAUUCAAGCAGUGUUUAGAUGGAGAAGAUCAGGGGAACAGAGAAAGAGGAAGGAAAGGGAAACUGCCUCAGUUGUGGCAGGAAAUCCAAGUCAUUUGGGACCACCCAGGCAGCGGUGAUUUGAGUGGAGGGUUUCAUUAUGUUCCCCUGAGUGGCCUUGAAUUUCUGGGCUUAAGCAAUCUUCCUGCCUCAGCAUCGUGUUAGCAGUAGUAAAAGAGCCUAAAGAUGCAUGUUCUGGAGCCAGACAAGAAGUAAACAGUCAGCAGGUAAG